CACUACAUUUGCAUAUCUCAGUGCAUGUUUGAGUUUUGCAAAGUUGUAACAUGUCUUCUGCUUUAUGUUUGGUCCAAUGUAAUAGAAGUGUUAUGUGUAUAUGAAGUCUGUCUUUGAAUUUCUUGGUUAAUUUCUCAAUGUACCAUAUUUGAACAAAUCAGGGAGGACACAGUUUCCAAGAGUAACAUCAAAGAGAGUCAGCCACCAUCCCCGUCAGAACCUGUUCUAUCUACUUGUUCCUCAGCAAGUGAUCAGGUCAGGGAGGACACAGUUUCCAAGAGUAACAUCAAAGAGAGUCAGCCACCAUCCCCGUCAGAACCUGUUCUAUCUACUUGUUCCUCAGCAAGUGAUCAGGGAGGACACAGUUUCCAAGAGUAACAUCAAAGAGAGUCAGCCACCAUCCCCGUCAGAACCUGUUCUAUCUACUUGUUCCUCAGCAAGUGAUCAGAGGACUGGAAAGAACACAAUAUCAGAAAACAGUGCUCAAGAGAACUAUCAGCUGUUGCAAUCAGGACCUGUUCUGUUUGCUUGUUCCUUAGCAAGUGAUCAAGUAAGUCUCUUGUGGUCAUUCCCAAGUGUUUCUUAGAUCUGAAAAUUGCCAACAAGGUUGAAAUUGAAUUUAGCAUCUUUACAGUAUAUGUAGAAUUAGAAAAUCAAAGGGGAA